AACGAACGCUGGCGGCAUGCCUAACACAUGCAAGUCGAGCGAGACCUUCGGGUCUAGUGGCGCACGGGUGCGUAACGCGUGGGAAUCUACCCUUGGGUUCGGAAUAACAGCUAGAAAUGACUGCUAAUACCGGAUGAUGACGUAAGUCCAAAGAUUUAUCGCCCAAGGAUGAGCCCGCGUAAGAUUAGCUUGUUGGUGGGGUAAUGGCCUACCAAGGCGACGAUCUUUAGCUGGUCUGAGAGGAUGAUCAGCCACACUGGGACUGAGACACGGCCCAGACUCCUACGGGAGGCAGCAGUGGGGAAUAUUGGACAAUGGGCGAAAGCCUGAUCCAGCAAUGCCGCGUGAGUGAUGAAGGCCUUAGGGUUGUAAAGCUCUUUUACCAGGGAUGAUAAUGACAGUACCUGGAGAAUAAGCUCCGGCUAACUCCGUGCCAGCCGCCGCAGUAA
rnacentral:rRNA from 1 species